rnacentral:rRNA from 1 species
AGUAAAAGUCGUAACAAGGUUUCCGUAGGUGAACCUGCGGAAGGAUCAUUAUUGAAUAAACUUGAUGUAGUUGAGCUGACUCUCUCGGGAGUAUGUGCUCGCUCGUCAUCUUUAUCUUUCCACCUGUGCACUUUUUGUAGAUUUGGAUGUAACUGUCCGAGGCAACUCGGUUGGGAGGAAUGCUGUCUCUGAUGGCUUUCCUUGUAUGUCCAAGUCUAUGUUUUCAUAUACUCCAAGUAUGUAACAGAAUGUAUCACUGGGCCUUGUGCCUAUAAACUAUAUACAACUUUCAGCAACGGAUCUCUUGGCUCUCGCAUCGAUGAAGAACGCAGCGAAAUGCGAUAAGUAAUGUGAAUUGCAGAAUUCAGUGAAUCAUCGAAUCUUUGAACGCACCUUGCGCCCCUUGGUAUUCCGAGGGGCAUGCCUGUUUGAGUGUCAUUAAAUUCUCAACCUUACUAGCUUUUGCGAAGUAAUGGCUUGGACUUGGGGGUGUUUUUGCUGGUUUCGAAAGAGAUCUGCUCCCCUUAAAUGCAUUAGCCGGUGCCCCGCGUGGACCGUCUAUUGGUGUGAUAAUUAUCUACGCCGUUAGAUGUCUGCUAUUAAAUGGGAUGUGCUGCUUCURAUCGUCCUUCWGGACAAUUAUUGACCAUUUGACCUCAAAUCAGGUAGGACUACCCGCU